AGGUGCUUGCCUUAGAGCAAGGGAAACAGCUCUCAUUCAAAGGAACUAGAAGCCUCUCCCUCAGUGGUAGGGAGAGAGCCAGGAGCGGUUUUCUGGGAACUGUGGGAUGUGCCCUUGGGGGCCCGAGAAAACAGAAGGAAAAUGCUCCAGACCAGUAACUACAGCCUGGUGCUCUCUCUGCAGUUCCUGCUGCUGUCCUAUGACCUCUUUGUCAAUUCCUUCUCAGAACUGCUCCAAAAGACUCCUGUCAUCCAGCUUGUGCUCUUCAUCAUCCAGGAUAUUGCAGUCCUCUUCAACAUCAUCAUCAUUUUCCUCAUGUUCUUCAACACCUUCGUCUUCCAGGCUGGCCUGGUCAACCUCCUAUUCCAUAAGUUCAAAGGGACCAUCAUCCUGACAGCUGUGUACUUUGCCCUCAGCAUCUCCCUUCAUGUCUGGGUCAUGAACUUACGCUGGAAAAACUCCAACAGCUUCAUAUGGACAGAUGGACUUCAAACGCUGUUUGUAUUCCAGAGACUAGUUUUGCUCUGUCGCCCAGGCUGGAGUGCUGUG
rnacentral:sRNA from 1 species